AGAUCCUGGAAGUGCUGUGAGGUCCUUCCAGAAUCUGAAGUCCUUUUCUUGGGGAUUGCUAUCACCAUUUCAUUUUUGGGUUCUGCCACCUCUUCAGUGGCCCAGACUGAGGUGGGAUGAGACUCCAGAGCCAGGCAGAUGACAGCAGCUUCAUGCAUUUUUAAUGUUGUCUCUUGUACUUCCAGAUCUUUGCUAAUAUCAUUUUACCAGCUCCUAUUUAUCCAAUGGGAUAACAAAAAUGACAAUAUUCCUCUGUGAUCCCCCCACCACAGUCCAUGGGAGCCUAUGGAUCAGAACUUUUCCAGACUGCAGCUGUACCUAUCACAAUAAAUUUCAGGACUCUUUAAAGGCCACAUAGAAAGACACAGACAGGCCCUUUGUGGUUACCAAACAUGUUAUCUCUAGAUGUCAUUUUUGACCUACUUUUGCUAGAUUUUUGCAGCAGCACAAAAUCUGUUCCUUAAAGAACCAUGCCACGUGCACAGUACCUAGAAAGGGGGAAACAGCAAAUCUGGAUAUAUUUUAUUUCAUUUAGGACUCCUCUCACCAUGAAUUACAAUGUUACAGGCUCUAAACGCCUUCUCGUUACCCAUAAUUAUAACUAAAAUUAUAUCAAUCUAAACACUAACUACUGGAAUGAUUCAUCCUGAUUGGGAGGAGCAUGCUCCCUGGAGUUCUGCUUGCCCAUCCAUUUUAAAGCCUCGUGGCAGGAAUAGCUUUCCAGAAGGUCAUUUAACAGCACAUUAAAUAAAUAAACAGAACAUAUUUGCUUCAGCAAACACACUCUAAUGGGAUGGGAAAACAUUUUGGGAGAGGUAGGAAUAACCCUCAAGAAAACCAAAUCUUUUGGUUCUCACCUUGCUGGGGGUGCAGCACCCACCCAAAGGCAGGCAGAGGCUCCAUGUGAUGCCAGCAGGGACAGUCCCUCAUGUCCUGCACACUGAAGGGUCCCACAGACCACCAAUGUCACCAGCAGGUCCCUGAGCCACUCAUGUCCCUGCAGAAGCCACCAAUCUUUAUCAGAAACCACGUUUCUGAUCUGAGCUUGGGACAGUGAGGGGCAAGAGGAAGGAAAUGUGGGCUCUGACUCAGCUGAUUCUGGGCUGUGUCUGCCUGAACAGAGAGUUAACUGCUCUAACACCAGCUGGAAGAAUAUACAGACCUUGCCUGGGAUGAUGCUUUUGUCCCCUUUGUUUGGGGCUUUGCAGGGAGCUGAGGCAGCAAUGGUGCAGGAGGGACGAGGAGCUCAGCACUGAAGGGAGCCAAACAGAAAGAUGGGAAGAGACAAUUUCCAAAGGCCUGGAGUGGCAGGACAAGGGGGAAUGGCUUCCAACUGAGAGAGAGGAGGUUUAGAUUGGAUAUUAGGAAAAUAUUCUUCCCUGUGAGGGUGGGGAGGUGCUGCCACAGGUGGCCCAGAGAAGCUGUGGGUGUCAGACACAAAACAGACACAAAAAGCUCCCCGUGGCUCCAGAGAGACCCAAUGGGCUGCUGGAAACAGCAGGAUUUGUGUCACUUGUGUGGAGAGAGGCCAGGAUCUCACCCCUGAGCCCAGUAUGAGCCUCGAGGUGACACAGAGCACAAAGGGCUGACAUCCACCUGGUCCCCCCACUUGCUCCUGCACCCCAGUACAGGGGUGUCUGGAAGAAUCACAGACUUGGAAAGAGAAAAAAAAAAAUACAGGGAACAUUUAACUUCUAUUUCUUCCUAUAAAUAAAGUAUAGCCAUCAAAUCACAAUGUAUUUGGGAGCACAUGUUAUUGACAGCCUAUUCUUGGAGGGGGGAAAAAAAAGUGGAUUUUUUGGCAAAGUUUCCUAAAGAUUAAAUUGUUCAUUGUACAGGGCACCAUCUGCCCUUGGAGAGAGAUUUAGUUGAUGGCAGCUGCAACCAAAGUGUGGAAGAUAAAGCUGAAUUUCUGGUUUCUUUUCAACUAGCAACUGUCAUUACAGGUCACAUGCAAACUGUGCCAUUUUCUGUGACAAGCAGGUUCUGUAGGAUUGGGUGCUUGCUACAUUUUAAAGUGCCACCUGUAAGGAUCCCAGCCGAGAAACAGCUUUUGGAACACACCUUGCAAAACGUGAAUUUACAGCACAGAAGAAAAAGCAAUUAUGGACCAACCAUCUGGACAAGGGCUGUGUGUUCCAGACCCAGUGCACUGGGAUGGAGGUCAGGAGGAACUCGUGGGUCCCUCAAAGGUGCAUCCCUCAAUUCAUUUGGGUGCUUAAAAAGGCUGAAUUAUCUGCAAGAGUUCACUCAACUGUUGCAUAAUCCACAAUUGCCUCCCUGUUCUCCUUGGAGUGUAAUUCCUCCUGAGAUUAAACCCCACAUUUUUUAAACCCCAAAGAGAAUUUCUAGAUCACCAAAGCAGAGGCUGCUGUGGGUGGGUUUUUCCUCAACCCCACCUCUGAGCUACGACACUGAAAUAUCUCAAUUCACUGUGAGGCAGCAAAGGCCACUUGACAGUGGGGAGAUGCUGAUUUGUCUCUGCACUCUGAGUUACUUAAAUAUCACACAAACCUCGUCCUGGCUACAGCAAACCCCUCCAGCAGGGAAUUUUUUACCUCCUCCCUCUCUCCAGAACACUUCCACAGGAGAGUGAUGUUCCCUUUCUCCUCGGAACAAAACGGGAGGGGAGAAGUUAAGAGCACACUGGUAGAUUUUUAUUAGGACUAAGAAACAAAGCAAAACAAAAAAGCAAACCCAAAGCUCUUCCCUUUCAUCCCUGCCUUGCCAUGAAAAUGCCUUCAUAUUUGCAGGCUUGCUGACAAUAUUUCAGGAUGGUACAUCACACACCGUCUCGUCUGGAACAGCAGACAUUGUCAGUGCUGGGAGACAACCACUCUCUGGUUUGUACUUCACAAAGAUUCUCUAUAAAGCAUUUCUAUAGAGGAAAAAAAAAAAAAGAUUUUUGAAAUUUGUGAGUCUCUCAGCCUUUCAGACAAGGAUGAGUUCUGGUUAAUUUUUUUUCUGAUGAUUUCCACAUUUUCUGCAAGGAAAAACAACAGCUACCAUUGCCUUAAGACAGACUGAACUAGUUGUAGCAUGCCUAGAUAAGAGAUUCUUUUUUUUUCACGUGAAAGAAUUUGCAGGACAUAAAUUCCUUGUUCUUAAGUUUAUCCUGUUCAGUUUAACUUGUUGGUCUUCUCUCCCAUUUUAUCACAGUAGAGGGGAUCAUGUUUUGAAAUAGAAAAUGCUACCAUUGGUAGCUUUUUGACCAAUCUGCUGUGAUUAAAUCCGUGCUUUUGGGUAAUAAGAUUAUUUAAAAAAUAUUUUAAAUAUUUUUAUAAGAAUAUAAAAAAUAGAUAAAUAUUUUAUAAGAAAUAUUAUUGAAAUAUUAUUUUAAAAUAUUUUUUAAAUAAAGGCUUUGUCUUUCCAACAAAAUAUUGCUCAUUAUUUCAGGUGUCAGUGCCUCUGAUGGCUUUGUGUUGUGCCCAGACCGUCCAAGCCAAACCUCCUUGGGAAGGCUCCCACUUCCACGUUUGCUGCUGCAGAACAGAACCACACUCACCCCUGCUUUUCCUUGGGGAAAUAAAUACACCUUCCUCCAUCCACACCUGACUGAGCCCAAAUGCUUCCAGGGCUGGGGCCUUUAAAGAGACAUCCAGAAAUAUAUUUAAUUUUUAUGACUCUGCCUGCUUGGGUUCCUUUUUGCAGAGAGCAUUAGUGUGUCGGAGGGGAGGCUGCUGCUGUGAGUGAGUGUGGGACCUGCUGCUUUCUCCUGUCUUUGUGAGGAAGCUCUUCAAGCACAAAUUCCCACCUUAAACCGCGAACGGGCGCGAGCUGCGAGUAAAUCACGGGCUCGGCGGUGCCAGAGCUGCACAUGCUCUUCUGCUGCUGAUUUGUCUACAAAAUAUAUCACAUGCCAGUUACUUGAAUUAGGAUCAUGGGGAGAAGGGAAUCAUUAGAGAGUAGAAGAAACUCUAAGACAUAAAGAAAACUUAUCCGUUUGUCUCCUCAGCGCCGCCUGUUUUAUUUCCUCUUCAGGCGCUGACAGCACUGAUGAGGCAAAGGAUGCUGUAAUCCUGAGCGAUUGCUUUUGGGGGGAGCAUCAUUAGGGCUGGAAGUGUUUGAUACAGUGAGAGCCCUGCAUUGCCAGGCCCUUUUCCCGGGGUCACUCGGCGGUGUUUGGCGGUGUGGAAGGUGCAGGCACAGCCUGGAUCAGGUAUUUCCCUCCUGGAGCCAUUUCCUUUGCUCUCAGAAAGGAAAUUUCCUGCCUUGGAAAGCCAGGUAAAUUAGACUUGGAGAAAGGGACACUGCAUCUUUGAGUAAUGAGGCUGGGAAACAGGGAACACAUUUUCCACUAGCUCAUGUCUCACUGUAUGGCAUUCUGAUUUCCUGACACUUCAUAAUAAAUCAUUGCUUAUCACUCACAUGGGAACAUAACAUGGUUCAAGUUAAGAUUCGUUAGUGAUUGUAAAGAAGAAACAUGAAUUGCUCUCUAUCAGGGCUUUUGGAUCAUCUUUCCGUCCACUGCAGGUGUUUUUUUAAUCAGAAUAUUUACAGGAGCCAUUGUCUAAGGCAUAAAUAAAAAGGAGAAGAAAGAGCAGAAAAUAUGAAUAAUGAAAAUGAAUUUAUUUGUCUUAUUUAUGUGUUUAUGUAAACACUUGGCAAUUGCUUUGCACAGCAGCUUGUAUUCAGUGUCAUGGGCUGCUGCACCAACAUAAGUUUGCAAAGCUGGGGUUUUAAAUAUAUAUACGUGAGUGUGUGUCUAUAAAAAAACCUAAAUGCCAAUACAUUCAUUUUCUGGAGAAGAAGGUUCUAGCAAACACAUCCAGAGCCUGUUUGCCCUUAGGAUGGCUCCUACAGGGAAAAGAGAGGCAGAUCCUGGUCCUGCUGGCCCUCCUUGGACCAGUGGGAGUGGAAACCUGGUGACCUCAGAGGCUGAGUGGCUCUAAUGGGAUGAGACUGGGAUGUUCCCUGCAGCCAGGGGUCCAUCAGAUCUGUGGGAAACAGGGAUUCAAUUCAAAAAAAGGGAUAUCUGGGAGCUGGGACAAUGUUCCUACAGCCCCUGUGCCCCCAGUGAGCUCGGAUGGGUCAGGAAUUGGGGAAGGGACAAGGGGAAAAGGCCUCAAGUGGCAUCAGGGGAAGUUUGGGUUGAAUAUUAGGAAAAAUUUCCUCCCCAAAGGGUUGCUCAGCUGUGGCAGGGCUGCAAUCCACAUCCCUGCAGGGAUUUAAUAACCACGUGCUUGUGGCACUUGGGGACAUGGAGGCCUUGGACUCCAAGCUCCGAGGGGGCUUUUCCAACCAAACUGAUUCCAGGAUUCCAUGAAUUCAGCUCUGUGUCCAGGCAGUUCUCUGCCUUCUCUGACCUUCACUGGAUGGAAUUUUUUCUGUAGUCACAACUUUUUCCUCAGCAGUUUAGGGAGAGGGCCGAAAAGCUGAUGGGUUUAUGGCUGGUGUCAGUAGUGCUUUAGGGGAACAGGGAGUUUUGUACAAAAAGACCUAAAAACUGAAAAAAAUGGGAAGUUACUUAAAGGACUAUAACAAAUAUGCAGAAUUUUUUCACUAAGAGAAAAAAACUCCUUCUAUUUCUUCCCUUGUUUUACAAAUAGUUCUCCUUUAAUUUCUUUCUUUAUCUUUUGGGUCUGAUUGUGGGAAGUACCUAAAACUUUGGGCUAACCUGAGAGAAAUCAGAUAAGGGAACUAUUUGCUGCAACUAUGGCUUUGAUUAUUCCCCCUUCAGUAAUUUGCUUUUUACUACAUUAAUCAACGAUAUAAUGUGUCAUUUCUACUGCUCCCUGGCUGAAUAAUUUCCAAAACUACAAACAGCUUUCAAGAUAGUUGCCAGACAGGCGCAAAUUAAUACUUUCAGAAAUUGUUCCUAGAAAUAUUCCCAUGAACAGAAGCUUUCACACCCUCUAUUUGUGUAAAGAGUUGGCUCAAAAAAAAAAAAA
rnacentral:lncRNA from 1 species